rnacentral:rRNA from 1 species
CCUACGGGGGGCAGCAGUGGGGGAUAUUGCACAAUGGGGGGAACCCUGAUGCAGCGACGCCGCGUGGGUGAAGGAGCGUUUCGGCGCGUAAAGCUCUAUCAGCAGGGAAGAAAGAAAUGACGGUACCUGACUAAGAAGCCCCGGCUAACUACGUGCCAGCAGCCGCGGUAAUACGUAGGGGGCAAGCGUUAUCCGGAUUUACUGGGUGUAAAGGGAGCGUAGACGGCGAUGCAAGUCUGAAGUGAAAGGCGGGGGUCCAACCCCCGGACUGCUUUGGAAACUGUAUGGCUGGAGUGCAGGAGAGGUAAGUGGAAUUCCUAGUGUAGCGGUGAAAUCCGUAGAUAUCUGGAGGAACAUCAGUGGCGAAGGCGACUAUCUGGCACAUAACUGACGCUGAGGAGCGAAAGCGUGGGUAGCAAACAGGAUUAGAUACCCCGAGAAGUC